UAGCGAAGGGGGCUAGCGUUGUCGGAGUCACUGGGCGUAAAGCGCACGUAGGCGGCUUUCUAAAGUCAGGGGUGAAAUCCUGGAGCUCAACUCCAGAACUGCCUUUGAUGACUGGGGAGCUCGAGUCCGGAAGAGGUGAGUGGAACUCCGAGUGUAGAGGUGAAAUUCGUAGAUAUUCGGAAGAACACCAGUGGCGAAGGCGGCUCACCGGUCCGGUACUGACGCUGAGGUGCGAAAGCGUGGGGAGCAAACAGG
rnacentral:rRNA from 1 species